GGGCGUGCCUAAUACAUGCAAGUCGAACGAACUCUGGUAUUGAUUGGUGCUUGCAUCAUGAUUUACAUUUGAGUGAGUGGCGAACUGGUGAGUAACACGUGGGAAACCUGCCCAGAAGCGGGGGAUAACACCUGGAAACAGAUGCUAAUACCGCAUAACAACUUGGACCGCAUGGUCCGAGUUUGAAAGAUGGCUUCGGCUAUCACUUUUGGAUGGUCCCGCGGCGUAUUAGCUAGAUGGUGRGGUAACGGCUCACCAUGGCAAUGAUACGUAGCCGACCUGAGAGGGUAAUCGGCCACAUUGGGACUGAGACACGGCCCAAACUCCUACGGGAGGCAGCAGUAGGGAAUCUUCCACAAUGGACGAAAGUCUGAUGGAGCAACGCCGCGUGAGUGAAGAAGGGUUUCGGCUCGUAAAAYUCUGUUGUUAAAGAAGAACAUAUCUGAGAGUAACUGUUCAGGUAUUGACGGUAUUUAACCAGAAAGCCACGGCUAACUACGUGCCAGCAGCCGCGGUAAUACGUAGGUGGCAAGCGUUGUCCGGAUUUAUUGGGCGUAAAGCGAGCGCAGGCGGUUUUUUAAGUCUGAUGUGAAAGCCUUCGGCUCAACCGAAGAAGUGCAUCGGAAACUGGGAAACUUGAGUGCAGAAGAGGACAGUGGAACUCCAUGUGUAGCGGUGAAAUGCGUAGAUAUAUGGAAGAACACCAGUGGCGAAGGCGGCUGUCUGGUCUGUAACUGACGCUGAGGCUCGAAAGUAUGGGUAGCAAACAGGAUUAGAUACCCUGGUAGUCCAUACCGUAAACGAUGAAUGCUAAGUGUUGGAGGGUUUCCGCCCUUCAGUGCUGCAGCUAACGCAUUAAGCAUUCCGCCUGGGGAGUACGGCCGCAAGGCUGAAACUCAAAGGAAUUGACGGGGGCCCGCACAAGCGGUGGAGCAUGUGGUUUAAUUCGAAGCUACGCGAAGAACCUUACCAGGUCUUGACAUACUAUGCAAAUCUAAGAGAUUAGACGUUCCCUUCGGGGACAUGGAUACAGGUGGUGCAUGGUUGUCGUCAGCUCGUGUCGUGAGAUGUUGGGUUAAGUCCCGCAACGAGCGCAACCCUUAUUAUCAGUUGCCAGCAUUAAGUUGGGCACUCUGGUGAGACUGCCGGUGACAAACCGGAGGAAGGUGGGGAUGACGUCAAAUCAUCAUGCCCCUUAUGACCUGGGCUACACACGUGCUACAAUGGAUGGUACAACGAGUUGCGAACUCGCGAGAGUAAGCUAAUCUCUUAAAGCCAUUCUCAGUUCGGAUUGUAGGCUGCAACUCGCCUACAUGAAGUCGGAAUCGCUAGUAAUCGCGGAUCAGCAUGCCGCGGUGAAUACGUUCCCGGGCCUUGUACACACCGCCCGUCACACCAUGAGAGUUUGUAACACCCAAAGUCGGUGGGGUAACCUUUUAGGAACCAGCCGCCUAAGGUGGGACAGAUGAUUAGGGUGAAGUCGUAACAAGGUAGCCGUA
rnacentral:rRNA from 1 species